UACACCUCAAUCAUAUGGGACUACCCCUGAAUUUAAGCAUAUUAAUUAGGGGAGGAAAAGAACUAACAAGGAUUUUCUUAGUAGGGCGAGCGAAGAAAACAGUUCAGAUAAGUCACUUUGUCUAUAUGGCAAAUGUGAGAUGCAGUGUAUGGAGGUCAAUAUUCUAGUAUGAGAAUUAAUGAUUUAAGUCUUCUUAAAUGAGGCCAUUUACAUAGAGGGUGCCAGGCGUAUAACGUUAAUGAUUGCUAGAUGAUGUUUCCAAAGAGUCGUGUUGCUUGAUAGUGCAGCAUAAGUGGGGUGGUAACUCAUCUAAACUAAAUAUACAUGAGACGAUAGUAACAGUAGUGAGGAAGGUUGAAAGAAUCUGAUAGAGAGUUAAACAGUACGUGAACUGUUAGAGGUUAAGCCGAUGAACCUGAAUAUCCGUUAUGGAAAUUCAUCAUUAAAUUGUAAUAUUUAAUAUAUUAUUAAGAAUAAUGUGCAUUUUUUCCAUAUAAGGACAUUGUAAUCUAUUAGCAUAUCCCAAAUUUAUCAUAAAAUAUAACUUAUAGUUUAUUCAAUUAAAUUGCUUGCAUUUUAACACAGAAUAAAUGUUAUUAAUUUGAUAAGUGCUGAUAGAUUUAUAUUAUUACAGAGCGUUAUUUUUCGGAAUUAUAUAAUGGCAUAAUUAUCAUUGAUUUUGUGUUUAUUAUAUGCUCUUGUAUGAUUCAAUGGCGAAAGAUUCAGGAUACCUUCGGGACCGUUUGAACACGGACAAGGAGUCUAACAUUUGCAGUUAUUGGGAUGUAACUAUAGCGUAAUUAACUUGAUAAUAAUGGGAUUAGUUUUUUAGCUAUUUAUAGCUAAUUAACCAAUCCGGGGCGUUCUAUAUAGUUAUGUAUAAUGUAUAUUUAUAUUAUUUUAUGCCUCUAACUGGAACGUACCUUGAGCAUAUAUGCUGUGACCGAAGAUGGUGAACUAUACUUGAUCAGGUUGAAGUCAGGGGAAACCCUGAUGGAAGACCGAACAGUUCUGACGUGCAAUCGAUUGUCAGAAUUGAGUAUAGGGGCGAAAGACCAAUGAACCAUCUAGUAGCUGGUUCCUUCCGAAGUUCCUCAGGAUAGUGGUGCAUUUUAAUAUUAUAUAAAAUAAUCUUAUCUGGUAAAGGAAUGAUUAGAGGCUUAGGGUGAAACGAUCUUAACUAUUUCAAACUUUAAAUGGGUAAGAACUUAACUUUUUGAUAUGAAGUUCAAGGUUAUGAUAUAAUGUGCCAGUGGGCCAUUUUGGUAAGCAGAAACUGGCGCUGUGGGAUGAACAAACGUAAUGUUACGGUGCCAAUUACAACUCAUGCAGAUACCAUGAAGGCGUUGGUUGCUUAAACAGCAGGACGGUGAUCAUGGAAGUCGAAAUCCGCUAAGGAGUGUGUAACAACUCACUGCCGAAGCAACUAGCCCUUAAAAUGGAUGGCGCUUAAGUUGUAUACUAUACAUUACGCUAAGUAGAUGAUUUAUUUCUUGUGAUAUAAAUUUUGAAACUUUAGUGAGUAGGAAGGUACAAUGGUAUGCGUAGAAGUGUUUGGCGUAAGCCUGCAUGGAGUGCAUUGGUAAGAUUUGGUGGUAGUAGCAAAUAAUCGAAUGAGACUUGGAGGACUGAAGUGGAGAAGGGUUUGUGUGAACAGUGGUUGAUCACGAGUUAGUCGUCUAAGUUCAAGGCGAAGCCGAAAAUUUUCAGUAAAAAAAAUGCUAACUAUAUAACAAGCGAAUAUAUACCUGAUAUUUUGAACGAAAGGGAAUACGGUUCCAAUUCCGUAACCUGUUGAGUAUCGUUUGUUAUUAAUAUGGGCCUCGUGCUCAUCCUGGCAACAGGAACGACCAUAAAGAAGCGUCGAGAGAUAUCGGAAGAGUUUUCUUUUCUGUUUUAUAGCGUACUACAUGGAAGUUUUCGCAGAGAGAUAUGGUAGAUGGGCUAGAAGAGCAUGAAUAUACUGUUGUGUGAUAUUUUUCCUCGGACUUGAAAUUUAUGGUGGGACACGCAAACUUUCAACAGGCGUACAAUAUCGCAGCUGGUCUCCAAGGUGAAGAGUCUCUAGUCGAUAGAAUAAUGUAGGUAGGGAAGUCGGCAAAUUAGAUCGUAACUUCGGGAUAAGGAUUGGCUCUGAAGAUUGAGAUAGUCGGGCUUGAUUGGGAACAAUAACAUGGUUUAUGUGCUCGUUCUGGGUAAUAGAGUUUCUAGCAUUUAUGUUAGUUACUUGUUCCCGGAUAGUUUAGUUACGUAGCCAAUUGUGGACUUUCUUGCUAAAUUUUUAAGAAUAUAUUUGGGUUAAACCAUUAGUUCUUAUCAAUUAUAACGAUUAUCAAUUAACAUCAAUUCAGAACUGGCACGGACUUGGGGAAUCCGACUGUCUAAUUAACAAGCAUUGUGAUGGCUAGCGGGUGUUGACACAUGUGAUUUCUGCCAGUGCUCUGAAUGUCAAAGUGAAGAAUUCAAGUAAGCGCGGGUCAACGGCGGGAGUAACUAUGACUCUCUUAGGUAGCAAAUGCUCGUCAUUAAUUAGUGACGGCAUGAUGGAUUAACGAGAUUCCUACUGUCCCUAUCUACUAUCUAGCGAAACACAGCCAAGGAACGGGCUUGGAAUAAUUAGCGGGGAAAGAAGCCCUUUUGAGCUUGACUCUAAUCUGGCAGUGUAAGGAGACAUAAGAGGUGUAGAAUAAGUGGGAGAUAUUAGACCUCGGUUUGGUAUCGUCAAUGAAAUACCACUACUCUUAUUGUUUCCUUACUUACUUGAUUAAAUGGAACGUGUAUCAUUUCUAGCCAUUAUACGGAUAUAUUUAUUAUAUCUUAUGGUAUUGGGUUUUGAUGCAAGCUUCUUGAUCAAAGUAUCACGAGUUUGUUAUAUAAUCGCAAACAAAUUCUUUAAUAAAAGAUGCAUUUAUGUAUUUUUGAUUUGAAAAUUUGGUAUAACUCCAAUUACUCAGGUAUGAUCCAAUUCAAGGAAUUGCAGGUAGGAGUUUGACUGGGGCGGUACAUCUCUCAAAUAAUAACGGAGGUGUCCCAAGGCCAGCUCAGUGCGGACAGAAACCACACAUAGAGCAAAAGGGCAAAUGCUGACUUGAUCUCGGUGUUCAGUACACACAGGGACAGCAAAAGCUCGGCCUAUCGAUCCUUUUGGUUUAAAGAGUUUUUAACAAGAGGUGUCAGAAAGUUACCAUAGGGAUAACUGGCUUGUGGCGGCCAAGCGUUCAUAGCGACGUCGCUUUUGAUCCUUCGAUGUCGGCUCUUCCUAUCAUUGUGAAGCAAAAUUCACCAAGCGUUGGAUUGUUCACCCAUGCAAGGGAACGUGAGCUGGGUUUAGACCGUCGUGAGACAGGUUAGUUUUACCCUACUAAUGACAAAACGUUGUUGCGACAGCAUUCCUGCGUAGUACGAGAGGAACCGCAGGUACGGACAAUGGCACAAUACUUGUUCGAGCGAACAGUGGUAUGACGCUACGUCCGUUGGAUUAUGCCUGAACGCCUCUAAGGUCGUAUCCGUGCUGGACUGCAAUGAUAAAUAAGGGGCAAUUUGCAUUGUAUGGCUUCUAAACCAUUUAAAGUUUAUAAUUUAUUUUAUAAACGACAAUGGAUGUGAUGCCAAUGUAAUUUGUAACAUAGUAAAUUAGGAGGAUCUUCGAUCACCUGAUGCCGCGCUAGUUACAUAUAAAAGCAUUAUUUAAUACAAUGACAAGCCUAGAAUCAAUUGUAAACGACUUUUGUAACAGGCAAGGUGUUGUAAGUGGUUGAGCAGCUGCCAUACUGCGAUCCACUGAAGCUUAUCUUUGCUUGAUGAUUCGA